rnacentral:misc_RNA from 1 species
CAUCAGAGCACAGGGAGGAACCCAGUAGUGACGCACAUCGUCGCAAAACGAGCGAAGAGGUGAGGGGACAGGCGCACCUGUGCACGAAGCGGAGGAAGCGUGUUGGUGCGGCUCUCUGGGUGGGCGUGGCUUGUGAGCGGUGCAAAGCAGACGCUCCAGCCGCACGCCUCUUCCGCACGCGCCUGCGCAGACGCUGCUGCCACUCCUCCGUUGCGCACUACCGCAGAGAUGAGCCCACACGGCGUCCGCGGCGCCGAUGCGCGCUUUCGGCCUUUCCUGUCCAGCAGCCUCGAUGAGUACCUAAAACGCUAUUGGGCGAUCGUCUUCACGGUGGGCUCUCAAGCCAUCGACACGGGUCACAUGCGCCACUACGUAUCCUGGUAUGCCACCCGUCUCAAGGUCGUGGAGCUCGACCACCACGUGCACGCCAUUUCGCUGCGCGAGCAGCUCAUCAUCAGAGCCGGCACACCGGCCCUCCCGCUUCUCUUCGUGAACCAGAAGCUUGUAGGCACCAUCGCCGACGUGCGCAGUUACGAGAAGCGCCGUCUGCUCAAGGACAUUGUGCAGUUUGGUUUCAAGUGGAAAACCGGUGCCGCAGUGGACUGUGCUCCGCAGCCACUGAACACCCUUCCCUCCCCCUACAGCGACACAGAGCUCUUUCGUGGGCGCUACCGUGGCGCUCCCGUAGCGCGGCCAGUCGUGCAGUUGCCUCAGCUGCAUCCCUAUCGACGUCAGGAGGACUGAAAGGAAGGGGCGGGCGAGACAGCGCCAACGCGUCUAACGGGUCGCCUCGCUCAACCUCUCCCGUGCUGUUCUCGAUAAGGCGCACUACGCAUUCCUCUUUCACGAUGCCCCCUUUCCACCUUUCCUUCCCCUCUUUCUGGAGGACUUUUCCCACCACUCUACCCCACACCUCCAUCCUUUGAGGCCUUGUUGCUCGAGGCGGCCGCGUCUUUCUUCACGCACGCGCACACGCACACACGUGCGUGUGCGCACAUCCGUCUCCGCUUAAUCUGAUAAAACACCCCGGCGCCCACGUUUUUCUCCUCCAUUCUCCGCAUGGAGAACCCGACAGAGACAGACGCAAGCCUGCGACGGACACACUAUGACCGAUAUCUCGAUCACGGGAGGUGCACUUCAACGACGUUCCUCGACGUGUGCAGGCACGUGCUGGAGUUUGUGCGAGAGUCGGGCAUGAGUGCCCUUCGUCUAUCGCCUAGUACCCCCUUCCCGUCCCACCCACCUACA